GCUGAGUGUGUGUGGUGCACACCUGUAAUCCCAGCAGCUCAGGAGGCUGAGGCAGGAGGAUCACAAGUUCAAAGCCAGCCCUAAUCAACUCAAGACCCUGCCUCUA
rnacentral:sRNA from 1 species